rnacentral:rRNA from 1 species
CGGAUUUCUUCGGAUUGAAGCCUUGGUGACUGAGCGGCGGACGGGUGAGUAACGCGUGGGUAACCUGCCUCAUACAGGGGGAUAACAGUUGGAAACGGCUGCUAAUACCGCAUAAGCGCACAGUACCGCAUGGUACGGUGUGAAAAACUCCGGUGGUAUGAGAUGGACCCGCGUCUGAUUAGGUAGUUGGUGGGGUAACGGCCUACCAAGCCGACGAUCAGUAGCCGACCUGAGGGGGUGACCGGCCACAUUGGGACUGAGACACGGCCCAAACUCCUACGGGAGGCAGUAGUGGGGAAUAUUGCACAAUGGGGGAAACCCUGAUGCAGCGACGCCGCGUGAGCGAUGAAGUAUUUCGGUAUGUAAAGCUCUAUCAGCAGGGAAGAAAAUGACGGUACCUGACUAAGAAGCCCCGGCUAACUACGUGCCAGCAGCCGCGGUAAUACGUAGGGGGCAAGCGUUAUCCGGAUUUACUGGGUGUAAAGGGAGCGUAGACGGCAUGGCAAGCCAGAUGUGAAAGCCCGGGGCUCAACCCCGGGACUGCAUUUGGAACUGUCAGGCUAGAGUGUCGGAGAGGAAAGCGGAAUUCCUAGUGUAGCGGUGGAAUGCGUAGAUAUCGGGAGGAACACCAGUGGCGAAG